rnacentral:rRNA from 1 species
GACGAACGCUGGCGGCGUGCUUAACACAUGCAAGUCGAACGGAAAGGCCCUGCUUUUGUGGGGUGCUCGAGUGGCGAACGGGUGAGUAACACGUGAGUAACCUGCCCUUGAUUUUGGGAUAACUUCAGGAAACUGGGGCUAAUACCGGAUAGGAGCUCCUGCUGCAUGGUGGGGGUUGGAAAGUUUCGGCGGUUGGGGAUGGACUCGCGGCUUAUCACCUUGUUGGUGGGGUAGUGGCUUACCAAGGCUUUGACGGGUAGCCGGCCUGAGAGGGUGACCGGCCACAUUGGGACGAAGAUACGGCCCAGACUCCUACGGGAGGCAGAAGUGGGGAAUAUUGCACAAUGGGCGGAAGCCUGAUGCAGCAACGCCGCGUGCGGGAUGACGGCCUUCGGGUUGUAAACCGCUUUCGCCUGUGACGAAGCGUGAGUGACGGUAAUGGGUAAAGAAGCACCGGCUAACUACGUG